rnacentral:rRNA from 1 species
GGGGUGCUCGAGUGGCGAACGGGUGAGUAACACGUGAGUAACCUACCCUUGACUUUGGGAUAACUUCAGGAAACUGGGGCUAAUACCGGAUAGGAGCUCCUGCUGCAUGGUGGGGGUUGGAAAGUUUCGGCGGUUGGGGAUGGACUCGCGGCUUAUCAGCUUGUUUGUGGGGUAGUGGCUUACCAAGGCUUUGACGGGUAGCCGGCCUGAGAGGGUGACCGGCCACAUUGGGACUGAGAUACGGCCCAG